rnacentral:rRNA from 1 species
GACGAACGCUGGCGGCGUGCUUAACACAUGCAAGUCGAACGAAGAGCGAUGGAAGCUUGCUUCUAUCAAUCUUAGUGGCGAACGGGUGAGUAACGCGUAAUCAACCUGCCCUUCAGAGGGGGACAACAGUUGGAAACGACUGCUAAUACCGCAUACGAUAUAACCUUGGCAUCGAGGAUGGAUGAAAGGUGGCCUCUAUUUAUAAGCUAUCACUGAAGGAGGGGAUUGCGUCUGAUUAGCUAGUUGGAGGGGUAACGGCCCACCAAGGCGAUGAUCAGUAGCCGGUCUGAGAGGAUGAACGGCCACAUUGGGACUGAGACACGGCCCAGACUCCUACGGGAGGCAGCAGUGGGGAAUCUUCCGCAAUGGACGAAAGUCUGACGGAGCAACGCCGCGUGAGUGAUGACGGCCUUCGGGUUGUAAAGCUCUGUUAAUCGGGACGAAAGGCCUUCUUGCGAAUAGUUAGAAGGA